rnacentral:rRNA from 1 species
UACGUAGGGCGCAAGCGUUAUCCGGAAUUAUUGGGCGUAAAGAGCUCGUAGGCGGUUUGUCGCGUCUGCCGUGAAAGUCCGGGGCUCAACUCCGGAUCUGCGGUGGGUACGGGCAGACUAGAGUGAUGUAGGGGAGACUGGAAUUCCUGGUGUAGCGGUGAAAUGCGCAGAUAUCAGGAGGAACACCGAUGGCGAAGGCAGCUCUCUGGGACGGUACUGACGCUGAGACGCGAAAGCGUGGGGAGCGAACAGG